UAAAAAAUACGUCUCAGUUCAGAUUGCAGGCUGCAACUCGCCUGCAUGAAGUCGGAAUUGCUAGUAAUCGCAGAUCAGCAUGCUGCGGUGAAUACGUUCCCGGGCCUUGUACACACCGCCCGUCACACCAUGGGAGUCGGUAACACCCGAAGUCGGUAGCCUAACCGUAAGGAGGGCGCCGCCGAAGGUGGGUUCGAUAAUUGGGGUGAAGUCGUAACAAGGUAAC
rnacentral:rRNA from 1 species